GCAAUAUGAAGGUCAGGCUGAAGACCUUACCCGAUUAGCUGAGAGGUGGUGCAUGGCCGUCGUCAGUUCGUACUGUGAAGCAUCCUGUUAAGUCAGGCAACGAGCGAGACCCACGUCCACAGUUGCCAGCAUACCCUCCGGGGUGAUGGGUACACUGUGGAGACCGCCGCUGCUAAAGCGGAGGAAGGAGUGGGCAACGGUAGGUCAGUAUGCCCCGAAUCUCCCGGGCUACACGCGGGCUACAAUGGUUGGUACAAUGGGCAUCUACCCCGGAAGGGGAAGGAAAUCUCUUAAAGCCAAUCGUAGUUCGGAUUGAGGGCUGCAACUCGCCCUCAUGAAGCUGGAAUCCGUAGUAAUCGCGUUUCAACAGAACGCGGUGAAUACGUCCCUGCUCCUU
rnacentral:rRNA from 1 species